CCCGCCCCUGCCUCCUGGUGACCAAUGGGAACUGAGGAAAGUUGUGACUGGCCGGUGAGGCCGAACGCGGCGACUAUAAAAGGGGCGCUGGGGCAGGGGAGGCACUUCACUCCCUCCCCGCUCCCUCAGGUCCUCUCCUAGUCAGUCCCGGCCCAAGGCCUGAUUUAAACGGGGGUCUGAGCUGGUGCUGCAAAAAUGGAAGAACUGCUUGUGAAUUAUAACCGAUGGGGCACAAAGGAGAUAAUCGGUUGUCUUGCACUGAAACGUGAGUGCAAAACAUAGCUACUUUCAAUGGCAGUUUCUUCUAGAAAAAGGAAAAAACAAUUUUGUACUAGGAGCUAACUGUCAUAGUAACCCACCGUAUUGUGCCCUACAGGACUGAAACCAGGAGGGCCGAGAUUACUUGGUAAAACUUAGCGGUUUGGUGCAUGCAGAUGCAUAGCCACACAGGAAAUACAC